CAAGGAAUAUUGCCCAAUGGACGGAAGUCUGAGGCAGCAACGCCGCGUGAAGGACGAAGGCCUUCGGGUCGUAAACUUCUUUUCUGAGGGAAGAGAAAGGACGGUACCUCAGGAAUAAGCUUCGGCUAACUACGUGCCAGCAGCCGCGGUAAAACGUAGGAAGCGAGCGUUAUCCGGAUUUACUGGGCGUAAAGGGCAGGCAGGCGGUCGGUUAAGUUGGACUUGAAAGCUCUCGGCUCAACUGGGAGAGGCGGUUCAAAACUAGCCGGCUAGAGGAUGGUAGAGGAGAGUGGAAUUCCCGGUGUAGUGGUGAAAUGCGUAGAUAUCGGGAGGAACACCAGUGGCGAAAGCGGCUCUCUGGGCCAUACCUGACGCUCAACUGCGAAAGCCAGGGGAGAGAACGGGAUUAGAACCCCGGUAUCCUGGCCGUAAACGAUGUUAACUAGGCGUAGGAGGUGUCAAAGCCUUCUGUGCUGCAGCCAACGCGAUAAGUUAACCGCCUGGGGAGUACGGCCGCAAGG
rnacentral:rRNA from 1 species